rnacentral:rRNA from 1 species
UACAGAGGUCUCAAGCGUUGUUCGGAUUCAUUGGGCGUAAAGGGCGCGUAGGCGGCCGACCAAGUCGGAUGUGAAAUCCCUCGGCUCAACCGAGGAACUGCACUCGAUACUGGUUGGCUAGAGUCCGGGAGGGGAUAGCGGAAUUCCCAGUGUAGCGGUGAAAUGCGUAGAUAUUGGGAAGAACACCGGUGGCGAAGGCGGCUAUCUGGACCGGAACUGACGCUGAGGCGCGAAAGCCAGGGGAGCGAAUGGG